UGCGGCAGCAGGAAAAAAACUUUUUCCUGUUUACAGCAGCAUAGACAUUUGCAGAUGCUGUGGGCCUAUUUUUGAGGGUGGGCUUGGAGCUGCAGCUCCAUCAGCCCCAUUGUUAAUCCGGCCCUGCAGGUACCCCAGUGGCAGGAAGAGAGAUGGAGACAACAUUAUUUUUAGUCAUAACUGAAGGAGCUUCUUCAGGCUUCCCAGCAAAAGCCCUGCUGCCAGGACAGGAACUCUAUUGAGCAGUACUGCAAAGUGCAAAUUAAUUGUGGCUCUGUAGUUUCAUCCUCUUCUCCCAAGGAGAGGACCGCUGUAUGAUUGGUGUGUGGGGCCGCUUGUCAUCUGUGGCCCCAUCUACCUCACCCACGCGUCCUAACUUAAUGUACUUUGCCUAGUGUGGUGCGGCCGCCGGCCGCUAACAGGAGAAGAGGUCCUGCCCCCACACCACUCGGCUGUCAGGAAGAGGUCUGAAUGCCAAACUCUGCUGACGUCAUCGCGCGGACCUUGGAGGAAGAGACGGUGCGGCCGCGGUGGAUCCAGCAGGAUUGGACUCAAUAUUACAUCUGUAUGUGUGGAUAAUGAAUCUAUUGUCUGAAGGUGAAUCCAUGAAUGAUCCACCAUCUCUGAAAGCCAAAGCUGAAGUUCCACCUCUUACUGUAGAUGUUUCCAGAAGACUGCCAGUGUGCUUAAAACAGGAAAGUAAGGUAACACAGUGACAUACAGAACAUUUUGUGCUCCUGUAAAUACUGAAUAGAAUCAACAGCGUAAGACUAGAGGAAUUCCCAUCUUACCUGAGACUGCUGCGAUAGCCUAUGUGACAUACACUGCUAAUUAUCACAGAUGAAUACCAUGAAUGUAUAGAUAAUAGAUAAAAAAAGAAAAUAAAAAGCUUAGAAUUGCAGCUAAUUCAGGAACGAAAGCUAAAGCUUCAGCAUGCCAAAAAUAAAUGAAUCUAUCACAGUGGGAUGGGAAUGUUUGAAUAUUCAAGAGAAACAAAAAUGCAAAAAAACACAUUGUAAUCAUUUCCCACAGUAAUUGGAACGUGUUUGACACAACAUCAACCACCGACACAUGCUGUGCCUCCUCUCAGAGUCAGGGACUUGGUACAAAUUAAAAUGCUACUGUGUACCCCCCUUUUAUUUUUUUGAGAAAAAAAAUUUAAAUCUAUAAACUCCUUUGUGUUUUCCUGAACACAUGUGCGGUGAUGACAGAUGUGGUACAGCAAGUCACUGUCUGAGUACAAGGACACAAUGCACAGGAAGUAGAAAACAGGACAAGCGCUGACACUGCUCUUCAAAACUAGUUAAGCCCAUAGGCCAGGACCAUUUACAAAGGUGUUGAUGUGUCUUUAAUUCUUUCAUGCAUGCUUACAUGACAAAUGCUCGAUCCCGCGUGCUUUUCCUCAAUAGUUAUGUAUAUAUAUAUAUACAUACUGUUGGGGCAUAUUUACUACGCAGUUUGCAAACAGCCAAUUUUCUAUGAUUUUUCUUGCCUGCUUUAAAGGGCAAUACUAUUAGAUGUAAUAUCAGGAUAGUCUUGCAUGUAAUACUAUUGCCCUUUUAAAUGUGGCAGACAAAAACACUGAGUAUUGGGAGAUUUUGAAUAACCUGGCUAAGUACAUAUACUAUUAAAGGACAACUCCAGACAUAACUUUAGUUUACCCCCAUCUCAUGGACCCUCAGUAUACUUUGUUAUCAGCAGUUACUCAGCUCCAUCGGAACAUAUGUUGGUUUGUUUAUCUGGCCAUAGCAACCUGGAUACAUGUAACAUAAACAAUACUGAGGUGUAGCUGAUGCGGCUGAUUGGACGACUGAGUGACUUGUCCAAUCAGCUACAAUAACUACUCAGUGUAGACUGGGUGCUUAUCCUCUUCUCCUAGACCUCCAGCAUUACCAUCACUGACACUGGCUGGAGGUCUAAGAGAAGAGGCCUAUGGCCUAAGCCCUGGUCCCUCUAUGGUACAUGAAUGAAGGAGGUUUAGUAAUAACAUGUCUCUGGUUCUGGAGUUGUCCUUUAAACAUGCAACUUACAUUUAGGCCAUAAUGGUUUCAAAAACUCAGUGGACCAUUAUUUCAGGUCAAACGACUGCAUUUAAUUCAUUUUUUUACCAAUUUUCUUUUCACACUAAGAAAUGUUCGUCGGAUUACUCAUUUUAGCAUUAGAUGUCGCAUGGGAUGGCUGUAUUCACUAUUGUACUUGUUCACAUGGAAUGGCAAGUGGCAAAAUUAAAUCAUAUGGAGAAUUAAAAAAACAAACUUCAAAUCAUAUACAGUAUGCAGACUAAGUAUUAGCAACACUUUGAGGACUCUUAUUUGUGAAGGAUCGUCAUCAGAAGACGUUAAGCAGACAGAAACUGCAGUUAGAUUUUUAAUUUCAAAGAAGAAGAAAAGCUAAUCCAGAAAAUGAAAGUAAUGCAUAAAAUUUUUGUUAUGCAACUAAUAAUCAGAACAACUGAAAUCAAGUCACACCCCUAUCAUAUAACCCAUUAGCCCUGUAAGCAACACUCUAGGCGUAGUCUUGUUCACUACUGCUGGAAUGAUGUCACAUCUCUCUUUUCAUUUCAUCAAUUCGAUUUUCAUUUUUCUUCUGCAACUAAAAAAAAAUAAAAACAUUUUUUUAUGUUUUGUUGAAAAAUCA